AAUCCUUGGGACUAGAAUUUGGGAUUUUUUUUUUUUUUUAACCAAGGAUUGAACCCAGGGGUGCCAAACCACUGAGCAACACCCUCAGCCCUUCCCAGCCCUUUAAUGUUUUAUUUUGAGGCAGAUUCUGGCUAAAUUGCUUGGGGCCUCAGUAAGUUGCUGAGGCUGGCUUCAAACUUGGGAUCCUCCUGCUUCAGUCUCCUGAGACACUAGGAUUACAGGUAUGUGCCACACUGUACCUGGCUGAAAUUUGGAAUAUUUUCAUAUACAUAAUGAAAUAUCAUAGGUAUAACACCCAAAUCUAAACAAGAAAUUAAUUUAUACUUUACAUACACCUUAUAUGCAUAGCCUGAAGAUAAUUUUACACUAUAUUUUUGGUGUGCCAACAUUUUGACUGUGAUCCCAUAGCAUGAGGUCAGAUGUGGAAUUUUCCACUUGUGGUUCAAAAAGUUUCAUAUUUUAGAGCAUUUUGGAUUUGUCUUCAGGUUAGGGAGGUUCUAUCUGUACUCUUCACAUCCCUUUAAUCACCUAUUGUAGAUCUCUUUCUUCAGGUAGCCAACACAAAGCAACUGGGAAUUAAAGGUGGACGUUAAGAGUACAUCCAUAGUCUUCAUCAGUUGUUGGUUAUUGUUACUCUGAUAUGUGACGUGUGGCAAAAAGACCUCUACUCUACCUAUUGGUGUUAGCAAUUUGAUCCUGUCCAGAUCCAGAUUUCCAAUUCAUAGGAUCACAGCUACUCAUGAGACUGGUUCAUACAUACAAUUGCUUGCUUUUUGAAAUUAGAGGAUGUUUUGGAGUUUUGUUGUUGUUGUUAUUGUUGUUUGUGGUACUGGGGAUUGAUCCCAGGGGCACUUUAACCUCUGAGUCACAUCCUCAGCUCUUUUCAUUUUUUAUUUCAAGAUAAGGUCUUGCUCAAUUGCUAAGGCUGGCCACAGAUUUGUAAUCUUCCUGCCUUAGCCUCCCAAACUGCUGGGAUGUCAGGCAUGUGCCACUGCACCUAGCUAGAGGACAUUUUACAUAGGCCCACAGUACCUUAGUUGCAGUUCUGCAACUUUAGGGUGUUUUGUCUCUGAAACCAAGUUUGAUACCUAAAGCCAGGUGGGGUGGUGCACACCUCUAAUCCUAGUGUAUAGGAGACUGUGGCAGGAGGAUCACAAGUUCAAGUCCAGUCUGCACAGUAUAGCAAGACCCUGUCUUGAAAUAAAAUAAAAAGAGCUGGGGGUGUGGCUCAGUAGUAGAACACUUGCCUAGCAUGCAUGAUGCCAUGGGUUCAAUCCCCAGUACUGAAAAAAUAAAUAAAUAAAUUAUUUUUGAGGUCCAAACUAAUUUGGCAAUGAAAUCUGACUUGAACUUAUAAAAGUGAAUUUAUGAUAUUUAUUCUUUUUAGUAUAAAUAAUAAGAUAGUUCACUGGGGACAUAUCUAUAUAUUUGAUUAUAGGGUGCCACCCCAGUCUUCCUGGAGGCCUUAUGUAAUAAUAUACAGCACGAUAUUUCUGAAAACUUCAAAAUGCCAUAACUCAUAACCCUAAGGUUUCAAAUAAAGGAUUAUGAACCUGUAAAAUCAAACCUGCAGGCAAUGAGCAGUUGUCAUUCAGUUAUUCACAUGUCAAACUGCAGUUGUAGCACUUUCAUAAAACGGAGUCUGCUUUCCCUGGCUAAACAUACAAUAUAUCUAACCUUUACCCUAAUUACAUGCAGCUUCAGCCUUAUAGAAAAUUUUGCAAAAUCAUUAUACACACCCCUAAAUCCUAACCCCAUGAACUUGCAGUAGUCAGCUUCUAUUUACAGUGACUGCCCCUCCUUAUCGAGAAAAAAACCCCAUUUCCUCCUACUGCUCUUCAUAUCAGUAAGAAAAUAAGAUUUGCCUAGGGCAAAUAUCCUCAAGUUCUCUGAAAGUUUCCAGAGAAAACAAUUUAGAAGACUGACUAAAAGGAAGACAACAUGCUCAAUUUCUUCUAUGUAUUUCUUUUAGUUGGUGAGGGCUUUGACUUUGUGACUCUUGCAUGGUGUUAACACAUUAAGUUAAUCUUUCAAAUAUCCAGGUCAGUCAUAAAUCAUGAUUUGGAUCUUUCAUUGAGCAAGAAUAGUUGCAAGAUAUAAGAUGAAGCCAAGCAUCAUCACAGGUGUGUGUAGUUCCAGAAAUUCAGGGUGCUGAGGCAGGAGGGUUACAACUUCAAGACUAGCUUGGGCAAUUUAGGGAGACCCUACCAUAAUAAAAUAAUUAAAUUAAAUGGUGCACGCAUCUGUAAUUCCAGAGACUGGGGAGGCUGAGGUGGGAGGACUACAAAUUCAGGUCAGCCUCAGCAACUCAGUGAGGUCUUAAGCAAUUUAAAAUAAAAAGGUUAAAAGUAAAAAAAAAAAAAGGGACUGGGGAUAUAGCUCAGUGGUGAAGCACCCCUGAGUUUAAUACUCAGUACCAAAAUGUAAAAAGAUAAGUAAAAUAAUAAAAUAAAGUAAAACAGAUUGGAAAUGCAGCUCAGUGGUAGAGCUGCCCUGGGUUCAACUCCAGUUCCACAAAAGAUGUAGGAUGCAGAACACCUGAUGUUUUCAUGGAAAGAUGAAUUUUUAGAAUUUAAUAAUUGGUUACCGUCUAAAGAUAUUUCUGUUGACCAUGCGGAGGUGUAGACAUUUCCCUGUUGCCCUCUGUACCCAGAAAAAUGAAAUCUACUCAGUAAUGUAUGACUAAUUGCUCCCGUCACAGGCAAAACAUGUAUCAACAGGCUAAAGACAUUCCACAGGAAACACAUGACUCUGUGCUCAUAUCUGAUGGAAGAAAAAUAGAAAAGGAAAUGCAGUAAGGCUUCUGCUCAGAUGCUCCUGUGUGUCAGAGAGGCCUCCAACUACUCUACCAAAAAGAGAUCCACUAGAGAAACUUUGGGUCAUGGCUGGUGGUGGUGAUAGUUGUAAGCCUACUUAAAUAGAUUGAAUUUUACACUGAAAAUUGCUCACAUGGUAAAUCUUAUGUACAUUUUACUACAAUAAAAACCAGAAAGUAAAAGA